rnacentral:rRNA from 1 species
GACAGAGGCCUCAAACGUUAGGCGGAAUCACUGGGCUUAAAGCGUGUGUAGGCGGAUCGUUAAGUGUCUUGUGAAAUCCCACGGCUCACCCGUGGAACGGCUGGGCAUACUGGCGAUCUUGGGCCAACUAGGGGCAACUGGAACAAGCGGUGGAGCGGUGAAAUGCGUAGAUAUCGCUUGGAACGCCAAAGGUGAAAACAGGUUGCUGGGGUUGUGCCGACGCUGAGACACGAAAGCCAGGGGAGCAAACGGG